CACACGCCACUAAAGCCACCACCGCCGGCAUAACGCGGAACCAACUGUUGGCAACAUUCAUUCGCGCGUCAUUGCUUCGUCCGCGUCGUCUCCGCAACGAGAGCCGCCAUCUUCUCGCGCCUAACGUUUUGUAUGGUUCUGUUCUCUGCAAUCCGCGCACACAGCUCAUCGGUGGCUGCACGUCUGCUCGGCGUCGCAAUGCGGCCUGCGUCAUUUUCUGGUGCUCGCGCAAUCGGUGUGAAACAUGUCGCAUGUGAAAUGUUUGAUAGAAGUGCCUCACGUCUAAGUCAAGCCGCCGUACGGGUGUAUGGCUGUGCGCCCCGUCCUCGGAAGCGUCGACGGGUUUCCGGCAUGCGGAUUUCAGCGUUUGGACUCUACUUUUGGUGAGGAUGUCGAUCGACCUUGGGCCUGGCGACAGCACACCCGACAUCGCCAAAGUGCAGCCUAUCAGUUGAGUGCCCCCGAAUGGACCAUCAACAUUGGAAAAUGAAGCAGAGCCAGGGGGAAAAGGUUCCGGUAACACUGCAUUCAGUAUGGUGGCCGAGACGUGUAUGCAAGCAACCUCCUUCAUGUGGACCAAGAACUACUCUGCAGUGUCUCACAGACUUCCAUGCGAAGCCCUCAACAUUCUCGUCUCAGUGGAAUGGCUGCUCAUCUAUCUGCGUGUCCAUCACCAAGAUGGCCAGUUGUAAAGCUCCUGUACCCGUUUAAGACAGCUUAAUGAUUUUUUUUUAUUUAGUUUUCAUGGUUGGCCGUAGAAUCUUAACAUUUUUGAUGUUUUUAACGUUUUUACCUGGCCCAAAGUGGUGCAAUAACUUUAAACCAGUGUAAUGUAUUUAAGUGAUGCUCACUCUAAUGCCUAUCUGGUUUUGUUUGUGUUUAAGAAAUUUGAAUGUCUGAUGAGGUAACAGCAUUUAAACUUGUCAUCGUGGCUCUUUUCAGUGAGCUGCUAGGAAAUAAGAUGCAAAACUUAUCACACGCCAGUUGUAGCAUUUUUGUUUUCAAGACUAAAGUAUACAUGUUUCAAAAGAUGGAAAGUGGGGAAAAAAUCCUCAAGAACGUAAUCAUCCUAGGAUUGUCAUGUCCUUACAACUCUGCAAUGACUAAUGCCUCAUACAUCUUGGGAGCACAUUGGUCGCAAUACCUACAGGUAUACUUGAUAAGAGAAUAGCUUGCACUCAGAUUUGCCACGCAGUUGAUGGCUGAUAGCUUUUGUUUGUCGUCUUCAUGUUACUACUAUGUAUUCAAUAUUCAUUUACAUGUGCUGCGGUUUUUUGCAGUCACACACACACACACACACACACACACACACACAC